AGACCCGAAACCCGGUGAUCUAGCCAUGGGCAGGUUGAAGGUUGGGUAACACUAACUGGAGGACCGAACCGACUAAUGUUGAAAAAUUAGCGGAUGACCUGUGGCUGGGGGUGAAAGGCCAAUCAAACCGGGAGAUAGCUGGUUCUCCCCGAAAGCUAUUUAGGUAGCGCCUCGUGAAUUCAUCUCCGGGGGUAGAGCACUGUUUCGGCUAGGGGGCCAUCCCGGCUUACCAACCCGAUGCAAACUGCGAAUACCGGAGAAUGUUAUCACGGGAGACACACGGCGGGUGCUAACGUCCGUCGUGAAGAGGGAAACAACCCAGACCGCCAGCUAAGGUCCCAAAGUCAUGGUUAAGUGGGAAACGAUGUGGGAAGGCCCAGACAGCCAGGAUGUUGGCUUAGAAGCAGCCAUCAUUUAAAGAAAGCGUAAUAGCUCACUGGUCGAGUCGGCCUGCGCGGAAGAUGUAACGGGGCUAAACCAUGCACCGAAGCUGCGGCAGCGAACGUAUCACCCAAGACAACUUUACGGAGUUGACGAUUGACGGAGCGAAGCGACGUCAAAGCGUUCAUUAAAGUCGAGUUGGCUUAGGGAUACGUUCGUUGGGUAGGGGAGCGUUCUGUAAGCCUGUGAAGGUGUGUCGUGAGGCAUGCUGGAGGUAUCAGAAGUGCGAAUGCUGACAUAAGUAACGAUAAAGCGGGUGAAAAGCCCGCUCGCCGGAAGACCAAGGGUUCCUGUCCAACGUUAAUCGGGGCAGGGUGAGUCGACCCCUAAGGCGAGGCCGAAAGGCGUAGUCGAUGGGAAACGGGUUAAUAUUCCCGUACUUGGUGUUACUGCGAAGGGGGGACGGAGAAGGCUAUGUUGGCCGGGCGACGGUUGUCCCGGUUUAAGGGUGUAGGUGUGUGUUCCAGGUAAAUCCGGUUCACUUUAACACUGAGGCGUGACGACGAGGCACUACGGUGCUGAAGCAACAAAUGCCCUGCUUCCAGGAAAAGCCUCUAAGCAUCAGGUAACAUCAAAUCGUACCCCAAACCGACACAGGUGGUCAGGUAGAGAAUACCAAGGCGCUUGAGAGAACUCGGGUGAAGGAACUAG
rnacentral:rRNA from 1 species